GAUGAACGCUGGCGGCGUGCCUAAUACAUGCAGGUCGAGCGAACGGACGAGAAGCUUGCUUCUCUGAUGUUAGCGGCGGACGGGUGAGUAACACGUGGAUAACCUACCUAUAAGACUGGGAUAACUUCGGGAAACCGGAGCUAAUACCGGAUAAUAUUUUGAACCGCAUGGUUCAAAAGUGAAAGACUGUCUUGCUGUCACUUAUAGAUGGAUCCGCGCUGCAUUAGCUAGUUGGUAAGGUAACGGCUUACCAAGGCAACGAUGCAUAGCCGACCUGAGAGGGUGAUCGGCCACACUGGAACUGAGACACGGUCCAGACUCCUACGGGAGGCAGCAGUAGGGAAUCUUCCGCAAUGGGCGAAAGCCUGACGGAGCAACGCCGCGUGAGUGAUGAAGGUCUUCGGAUCGUAAAACUCUGUUAUUAGGGAAGAACAUAUGUGUAAGUAACUGUGCACAUCUUGACGGUACCUAAUCAGAAAGCCACGGCUAACUACGUG
rnacentral:rRNA from 1 species